UCGCGUCGUAUAUUGUUGUAUUUAUUUGUUGUUCAAGGACACGUAAUCACGCGUCUAAAGUAUCGAGUCGUUAUCGGUCGAUCAGGUGAUAUAAACAAGUAACAAUACUUCUUUCGAUAAUAUCCGUGCUUGGCAUUGUUCGAUUCGGAAUACUGCUUCACAUAAAAAUUGUCGCGAUAUCAAAUUUUUUAGUGGGCGAGUUCAUUAUUCUGUCAUUGUAAUUGCUUGUUCCAGAAGCAUUGUACUUCUCGUUAAAAUCACGUGUAUCACGCUUGUAAAAAUCGGAAAUAUCAUAAAAAUUGACCAGUUAUAUCGUAGAUAAAUAAUAAUUAGUGCUGCAUAAAUAGUGCAUUUGGAACAAUAAUGGAGUCAACAAAUUUGAAGAACAGAACACAGUGGUGUGUUUGGAAUAAUGGUGGUGAAAAUCCCAACAGCGAGACACAUCAACUGAUGGAAACGAAGGCAACGGACUGGACGAGAGAGGAGUGAAAGGUGGUUCGCUCCUGACCCGAGAGCGGAGUUUUUUAUAACAUUAUUAAAGAAAAAAGGGAACGUGCUGCGCGAGGCAACGAAACUUUCAGCAGGCCGCUACUCAUC